AGCGAACGCUGGCGGCAGGCCUAACACAUGCAAGUCGAACGAACCUUUCGGGGUUAGUGGCGGACGGGGGAGUCACGCGUCGGAACGUGCCUUUAGGCUCGGAAUAACUCAGGGAAACUUGUGCUAAUACCGAAUGUGCCCUUCUGGGGACAGAUUUAUCGCCUUUAGAGCGGCCCGCGUCUGUUUAGCUAGUUGGUUGAGGUAAUGGCGCACCAAGGCGACGAUCAGUAGCUGGUCUGAGAGGAUGAUCAGCCACAUUGGGACUGAGACACGGCCGAAACUCCUACGGGAGGCAGCAGUGGGGAAUCUUGCGCAAUGGGCGAAAGCCUGACGCAGCCAUGCCGCGUGAAUGAUGAAGGUCUUAGGAUUGUAAAAUUCUUUCACCGGGGACGAUAAUGACGGUACCCGGCGAAGAAGCCCCGGCUAACUUCGUG
rnacentral:rRNA from 1 species